AGGAUAAUAGUUAAAAAUAAUAUUUGAUUUGCAUUCAAAAGGUGUUGAAUUAUCAACUUAUCUUU
rnacentral:tRNA from 1 species